rnacentral:rRNA from 1 species
UACGUAGGGGGCUAGCGUUGUCCGGAAUCAUUGGGCGUAAAGAGCGUGUAGGCGGUCCGGUAAGUCCGCUGUGAAAGUCGGGGGCUCAACCCUCGAAUGCCGGUGGAUACUGUCGGGCUAGAGUGCGGAAGGGGCAACUGGAAUUCUCGGUGUAGCGGUGAAAUGCGUAGAUAUCGAGAGGAACACCUGCGGCGAAGGCGGGUUGCUGGGCUGACACUGACGCUGAUGCGCGAAAGCCAGGGGAGCGAACGGG